GAUGAACGCUGGCGGCGUGCCUAAUACAUGCAAGUCGAGCGAACAGACGAGGAGCUUGCUCCUUCGACGUUAGCGGCGGACGGGUGAGUAACACGUAGGUAACCUACCUAUAAGACUGGGAUAACUUCGGGAAACCGGAGCUAAUACCGGAUAAUAUUUCGAACCGCAUGGUUCGAUAGUGAAAGAUGGCUUUGCUAUCACUUAUAGAUGGACCUGCGCCGUAUUAGCUAGUUGGUAAGGUAACGGCUUACCAAGGCAACGAUACGUAGCCGACCUGAGAGGGUGAUCGGCCACACUGGAACUGAGACACGGUCCAGACUCCGACGGGAGGCAGCAGUAGGGAAUCUUCCGCGAUGGGCGAAAGCCUGACGGAGCAACGCCGCGUGAGUGAUGAAGGUCUUCGGAUCGUAAAACUCUGUUAUUAGGGAAGAACAAACGUGUAAGUAACUGUGCACGUCUUGACGGUACCUAAUCAGAAAGCCACGGCUAACUACGUG
rnacentral:rRNA from 1 species